AGUGAACGCUGGCGGUAGGCCUAACACAUGCAAGUCGAACGGCAGCACAGGAGAGCUUGCUCUCUGGGUGGCGAGUGGCGGACGGGUGAGGAAUACAUCGGAAUCUGCCCAGUCGUGGGGGAUAACGUAGGGAAACUUACGCUAAUACCGCAUACGACCUUCGGGUGAAAGAGGGGGAUCGCAAGACCUCUCGCGAUUGGAUGAGCCGAUGUCGGAUUAGCUAGUUGGCGGGGUAAUGGCCCACCAAGGCGACGAUCCGUAGCUGGUCUGAGAGGAUGAUCAGCCACACUGGAACUGAGACACGGUCCAGACUCCUACGGGAGGCAGCAGUGGGGAAUAUUGGACAAUGGGCGCAAGCCUGAUCCAGCCAUACCGCGUGGGUGAAGAAGGCCUUCGGGUUGUAAAGCCCUUUUGUUGGGAAAGAAAUCUUUCAGGCUAAUACCCUGGGAGGAUGGCGGUACCCAAAGAAUAAGCACCGGCUAACUUCGUG
rnacentral:rRNA from 1 species